rnacentral:rRNA from 1 species
UACAGAGGUCUCAAGCGUUGUUCGGAUUCAUUGGGCGUAAAGGGUGCGUAGGCGGCGCGGUAAGUCGGGUGUGAAAUCUCGGGGCUUAACUCCGAAACUGCAUUCGAUACUGCCGUGCUUGAGGACUGGAGAGGAGACUGGAAUUUACGGUGUAGCGGUGAAAUGCGUAGAUAUCGUAAGGAACACCAGUGGCGAAGGCGGCUCACUGGCCCGGUACUGACGCUGAGGUGCGAAAGCGUGGGGAGCAAACAGG